UGUUGUUGUUGUUGUUGUUGAUAACAACAAUAACAAUAAUAAUAAUUAAUCAUUAUCAUCGUCAUCAUCAUCAUUAUUAUUAAUC